rnacentral:rRNA from 1 species
UUGUGGUUAAAAAGCUCGUAGUUGGAUCUCGGCGGACUGAGGGCGGUUUGCUUGCUAGUAUUACUGCCCUAUAGUCCGUAGUUUUGCCAGAGGUUUCGGGGUGCUCUUAAUCGAGUGUCCCGGGAUGCUGGCAGGUUUACUUUGAAAAAAUUAGAGUGCUCAAAGCAGGCUAUUACGCCUGAAUAUUCGUGCAUGGAAUAAUAGAAUAGGAAGUCGUUUCUAUUUUGUUGGUUUUCGGAAAUCGACUUAAUGAUUAAUAGGGACAGUCGGGGGCAUUUGUAUUCAAACGACAGAGGUGAAAUUCUUGGACCGUUUGAAGACAAACUACUGCGAAAGCAUUUGCCAAGAAUGUUUUCAUUAAUCAAGAACGAAAGUUAGAGGUUCGAAGGCGAUUAGAUACCGCCCUAGUUCUAACCAUAAACGAUGCCAGCUAGCGAUCUGAGGACGUUUUUUUUGUAGACUCCUCAGGAAGCUUCCGGGAAACCAAAGCGUGUGGGUUCCGGGGGAAGUAUGGUUGCAAAGCUGAAACUUAAAGGAAUUGACGGAAGGGCACCACCAGGAGUGGAGCCUGUGGCUUAAUUUGACUCAACACG